rnacentral:rRNA from 1 species
UACAGAGACCUCAAGCGUUAUUCGGAUUCACUGGGCGUAAAGGGUGCGCAGGCGGCCAAGUGUGUCAGAGGUGAAAUCCUGCAGCUUAACUGUAGAAUUGCCUUUGAAACUACUUGGCUAGAGUACCGGAGGGGGAAGGGGAAUUCCAGGUGUAGCAGUGAAAUGCGUAGAUAUCUGGAGGAACACCAGCGGCGAAGGCGCCUUCCUGGACGGUAACUGACGCUCAUGCACGAAAGCGUGGGGAGCAAAAGGG